CUUGUGUGCUCUAUUCCGUAUAGAACGUAUACCAUGCAAGUGAUGUUUGUGGCAUGACACCAGCCCCGAGUAAUUUAUCUCUAGCAACUCACUGCAUCAGGCUGUUAAGUCAGUAAGCACUUCCACAAUUAGUACGUGUGAUCAUCACCCCUGACAUGAGGUUCAACUUUGCUCUGCGUACCCGCGGUCCUUGGCUGGGAGUUGUUGUUUUAAGCUUUUAUAGAAAGAAAAGGCAGUACCUAUAAGUGAUACAGAUGUUUGUGUGGUUGCCUGGGCAUAAUGUUUUGCACCGUUUCUGUAUGAUCUUGAUUCUCUUACAUUAAUCUAAACCUAAUCACGGAAGCAGCUACGAAUUGAUGGCCAUUCCUGCUGAAGCUCUUUUUUUCCCUGAAGAAAAAGAAAACAAGCAAGCAGAGAACCUUCAAAGAAACCAGCAUUUUCAAAGAGCAAGACAAAUGUCUGUGAUUAUGCCGAAGUCAGGAGAGCACAGGAGGAAAAUGCAGCCUUGCACCUCUGCUUAUGCCUUUGGUGGUGGAAAUCACUGCUUUGCUGCCCAGAGCUCCUGCCCAGAUUUAGGCAGUUUGUAGUACUAGCCUCUCUGAGGGCCAGCUUCCAUCACGAGGGAGAGAAAAGCAGCAACAGAGAGCAAUUCUCAGCCUGAAGCUGUGUCCCCGGUAGCUCUCGAGUCACUCCCUGGUGGGGCCACUUUCUUCCCACAGCAGCAACCAGCUCAGGCUUCGUCACUGCACUUUCAGACACCUCGAGUGAAAUUAAAUCACCUCCACCAAUGUGCCCGGGUGCUGUACUUCCCCAGCAAGGAAAGGCAGCAUGAUGUUAGCGUGUUAAUUUUGGCAGAGCACUCUGACGUCCUUGGAGGAAAGGAUCUAUUCUGUGCCUAUUCUGUCUUCUUGCUAAGAACUAUUUUCCGUACAGGAUCCUCCAGCAGCUUCAUGGCAGGAUUUCACUGGUUCCAUCUCCAUGUUCACUUUUCAACAGUCACAAGCCACUGCAAAUAAAUGGCUCCAGACCUUGGCAGUUGUGUAGGAAAUAACCCCCCAUUUUACAAAUCCUUAAAAGCAAGGAAAA